rnacentral:rRNA from 1 species
AUUGAACGCUGGCGGCAUGCUUUACACAUGCAAGUCGAACGGUAACAGGCCGCAAGGUGCUGACGAGUGGCGGACGGGUGAGUAAUGCAUCGGAACGUGCCCAGUCGUGGGGGAUAACUACUCGAAAGAGUAGCUAAUACCGCAUACGAUCUAUGGAUGAAAGCGGGGGACCGUAAGGCCUCGCGCGAUUGGAGCGGCCGAUGCCAGAUUAGGUAGUUGGUGGGGUAAAGGCUCACCAAGCCAACGAUCUGUAGCUGGUCUGAGAGGACGACCAGCCACACUGGGACUGAGACACGGCCCAGACUCCUACGGGAGGCAGCAGUGGGGAAUUUUGGACAAUGGGCGCAAGCCUGAUCCAGCAAUGCCGCGUGCAGGAAGAAGGCCUUCGGGUUGUAAACUGCUUUUGUACGGAACGAAACGGCUCUGGUUAAUACCCGGGGCUAAUGACGGUACCGUAAGAAUAAGCACCGGCUAACUACGUG